rnacentral:lncRNA from 1 species
UUGUAUACAGAGAUGGAAGAGUGAAGUAAAUCCCACGCAGAAUAUAAAGACAUGGAGUAACUCCCAAGUCAACACUUCCACUUCACUGAAUGCAAACAAAUUAAUAAAAUAUUGAAAAGAGAGAAGGUGGGUAUGAUCCAAUAGCCUUGAUCCCACAUGGGCUAGCGUGCGGGUCCAAGAAUAUGGGAUUUUCCAACUGCUUAAGAAUGAACUAGUACAUAUUGACGCUUCUUAGUUUUUUU